rnacentral:rRNA from 1 species
CCUGAGAAACGGCUACCACAUCUAAGGAAGGCAGCAGGCGCGCAAAUUACCCAAUCCUAACAGAAUAAGGGAGGUAGUGACAAGAAAUAACAAUACAAGGCAUUAAAAUUGCUUUGUAAUUGGAAUGAUAGAAAUUUAAACACUUUCUAAAGUAUCAAUUGGAGGGCAAGUCUGGUGCCAGCAGCCGCGGUAAUUCCAGCUCCAAUAGCGUAUAUUAAAGUUGUUGCAGUUAAAAAGCUCGUAGUUGGAUUUUUGCUAAAAUUAACUGGUCUGCUUUUUGUAAAAGUAGUAUCUUGGUAUGUUUUUAGCAUUAAUGUCCUAAGGAAAUGUUUUUUGCUUGAUUGUAACAAACAAUAAUUAGGAUUUUUACUUUGAAAAAAUUAGAGUGUUUCAAGCAGGCUUACGCUUUGAAUACUGCAGCAUGGAAUAAUAAAAUAGGAUUUNGNUUCUACAUUAUU